AUAAGGCUACAAGACAAAAGUAGCCUUACAAUCAUAGCAGCGGGUCAAAGUUGUUUCUACAAUGACAACACGAGCUCGCUGAGCAAAGAGGGGAUCCAAUCGACCUUUUGAAGUUGCGGUGAACACACGUUCGAGACGGGACAUUCGUGUCCCAAGCUACGGAGGAUGCACAUAUAACAUCAAAUGCUAGAACUCCAGUCCUAGCCUACCCUAGAAGGUAAUUAGUCACUCUCUAAGGACGAGAUAUGCGAGACGAUGUUGGGUAGAUGAUCGGCUACUCAAAAGGCCUUUGUUAGGGACCCAAGCCCAAGAUCAGCAAGAUGACUAGUGUGAGCAGUUCCAUGAUGUCAUGUCCGCAAUCCAUAGUAGAGCUUCAAUUAUAGGUUGAGUUUGAUCAAGCUGUGCAAUGGAUUGAAUAACAGACAAUAAAUCACGAAGCAUUAGUUUUAGAAAUGGAACAAAUGUGGAAGCUCAUAGAAGACAGGACUCGGACACAAUAAUGACUACCACAUGAUCCCUAGCUUUUUGAACCUACAGUGUAGAAUGACAUACGAGGCUCGCUAGGAGACGUACGUUAUGACGUAUGGCUUUCUUUGCGCUUUUUUUUUUAACGAGAAAUAUUUUUUAUUUGUAUUAUGAACGUUGUUACAUUUUUUGAACUUUUUUGUAUUAUGG